UGACAUUUUAACCAUAGUGCU
rnacentral:miRNA from 1 species